rnacentral:rRNA from 1 species
GACAGAGGCCUCGAGCGUUAGGCGGAAUCACUGGGCUUAAAGCGCGUGUAGGCGGAUCGUUAAGUGCCUUGUGAAAUCCCGCGGCUCAACCGCGGAACGCUGGGCAUACUGGCGGUCUUGGGCCACUCAGGGGUCACUGGAACAAGCGGUGGAGCGGUGAAAUGCGUAGAUAUCGCUGGAACGCCGAAGGUGAAGACAGGUGACUGGGGUGUGCCGA